AGGAUGAACGCUGGCGGCGUGCUUAAUACAUGCAAGUCGAGCGGCAGCAUGCACUUCGGUGUGAUGGCGAGCGGCGGACGGCUGAGUAACGCGUAGGAAUGUACCCCAAAGUGAGGGAUAAGCACCAGAAAUGGUGUCUAAUACCGCAUGUGAUCUAAGGAUUAAGGCUUUAUGCGCUUUGGGAACGGCCUGCGUACGAUUAGCUUGUUGGUAAGGUAAUGGCUUACCAAGGCGAUGAUCGUUAGCUGGUCUGAGAGGAUGAUCAGCCAGACUGGGACUGAGACACGGCCCAGACUCCUACGGGAGGCAGCAGUGAGGAAUUUUCCGCAAUGGGCGAAAGCCUGACGGAGCGACGCCGCGUGCACGAGGAAGGCCUUCGGUCGUAAAGUGCUGUCGAGGGGGACGAUUAUGACGGUACCCCUGGAGGAAGCCCGGCUAACUACGUGCCAGCAGCCGC
rnacentral:rRNA from 1 species